GAACGCUCUACUUCGGUAGAGAGUGGCAAACGGGUGCGUAACACAUUGGUAACCUACCCCGAAGUUCGGGACAACCUAUCGAAAGAUGGGCUAAUCCCGGAUGUGCUCAGUACCUUCUUGGUACUGAGUAAAGAUUUAUCGCUUCGGGAGGGGCCUAUGGCCCAUCAGCUUGUUGGUGAGGUAAUAGCUCACCAAGGCAACGACGGGUAGCGGGUGUGAGAGCAUGACCCGCCUCACUGGGACUGAGACACUGCCCAGACUCCUACGGGAGGCUGCAGUCGAGAAUCUUCCCCAAUGCCCGAAAGGGUGAGGGAGCGACGCCGCGUGCAGGAAGAAGGCCUUCGGGUUGUAAACUGCUUUUUUGUGGGACGAACUUACGUGACGGUACCACACGAAUAAGGGGCUGCUAACUUCGUGCCAGCAGCAGCGGUAAUACGAAGGCCCCGAGCGUUAUCCGGAUUUAUUGGGCGUAAAGCGUUCAAAGGCGGUCAAGUUAGUCAAGGGUUAAAUCCUGGGGCUCAACCCCAGGGCCGUCCUUGAUACUGCUCGACUUGAGAAUGGGAUAGGCAAGCGGAACUGCCGGUGUAGUAGUAAAAUGCGUUAAUAUCGGCAAGAACACCAAUGGCGAAGGCAGCUUGCUAGAACAAUUCUGACGCUAAAAGAACGAAAGCGUGGGGAGCGAAUGGGAUUAGAUACCCCAGUAGUCCACGCUGUAAACGAUGAGUGCUAGAUGUUGGGAGUUUCGACCCUCUCAGCAUCGUUCAAGCUAACGCCUUAAGCACUCCGCCUGGGAAGUACGGCCGCAAGGCUAAAACUCAAAGGAAUUGACGGGAGCCCGCACAAGCGGUGGAGCAUGUGGUUUAAUUCGACGAUAAGCGAG
rnacentral:rRNA from 1 species